ACGAAGAUAGCUUAACUGUCCGAGCCGUUGGUGCGCAACCAAAAGAUCCGGGUUCGAUUCCCGGUUCGGGCUGUA
rnacentral:tRNA from 1 species